ACAACCAGUGGCGUAUCCAGGGGGGCAAGGGAGGGCAAUUGCCCCCCCUAAAAUUUGGAAAUUUUUGGAGGACCUAUAUGUAAUUAAAUUUUUGGAGGACCUAUAUGCAAUUGCCACCACUAAAAUUCUGAAAAGAAGAAUAAUAGAAUAACACAAUAUGAAGUAUAAAAUAAAUGUUGUGAUGUUGUUUUAGAAUUAUUUUCUUUCAGAAUGAUCAAGUUGAAAGGAAAUAAGUAGACUAUCUAUAGUAAACACACAAGAUCGAUCACCAAUCAAUAACAGUAUAAGAUGCCAGAUUUCAAUCAAAUGAGAUGAUUUGUUUUGAAUUUUGGAUUUCAUUAUUAUGUAACUUGAAUUCAAUCUGCUGCAUUAUUAUGCUCAGAAUAAAGUGGCAAACUACUAAGUGAGUCUUUGGUAUAUAGUUUUCCCACCUAAUCCUCCAUAAUCAUAGAGAUAAUUUGUGAAAACCAUUUUCUCACAUUAUCAAAGAAGUGUUUUUCCCUUGAGAGUUCCCAUGCUGUUUUUUUUAUACAGAUGCUUCUGAAUUUUUUUAGGUUGACUAGUGACUACGCUUUCCGCUUGAGUGUUAAUUAGGGAUUUGUCAUUUCAUUUGUCGGAAGUUUAAAAAGAUCUUCUAUAACAAGGUAACAAGGUUCUAUUACUUUUUCAUUUUUAUAAUUGUUAGAUUUAUAAUUUUAUGCAUUAUUUCUUAUAUAAUUUUAUAGUUCGAUUUAAGAAUGUAGGAUUGUAUUCUUAGAUUUAAGGUGAAUCUUAUUUCUUAAAUUACAGUCUUACGG
rnacentral:lncRNA from 1 species